rnacentral:rRNA from 1 species
UACAGAGGCCUCGAGCGUUAGGCGGAAUCACUGGGCUUAAAGCGUGUGUAGGCGGACUUCUAAGUACCUUGUGAAAUCCCACGGCUCACCCGUGGAACUGCUUGGUAUACUGGUCGUCUUGAGCCUUCUAGGGGCGAGUGGAACAAAUGGUGGAGCGGUGAAAUGCGUAGAUAUCAAGAGGAACACCUGAGGUGAAGACGGGUUGCUGGGCCGACACUGACGCUGAGUGCGCGAAAGCCAGGGGAGCAAACGGG